CUACGGGCGGCUGCAGUGAGGAAUAUUGCACAAUGGGGGGAACCCUGAUGCAGCAACGCCGCGUGGAGGAUGAAGAGGUGCGGGGGGGAAAUGCCUUUUAUAUGUCAAGAAAAUGACGGUAGCAUAUGAAUAAGCACCGGCUAACUCCGUGCCAGCAGCCGCGGUAAUACGGAGGGUGCAAGCGUUACUCGGAAUCACUGGGCGUAAAGGACGCGUAGGCGGGUUGGAAAGUCAGGUGUGAAAUCCUACAGCUUAACUGUAGAACUGCACUUGAAACUUCUAAUCUAGAGUAUGGGAGGGGGAGAUGGAAUUAGUGGUGUAGGGGUAAAAUCCGUAGAUAUCACUAGGAAUACCUAAAGCGAAGGCGAUCUCCUGGAACAUUACUGACGCUAAGGCGUGAAAGCGUGGGGAGCAAACAGGAUUAGAUACCCGGGUAGUC
rnacentral:rRNA from 1 species